ensembl:lncRNA
CCUGGAAAUGAGCAGGCUGUUUUCCUGUCUGUGUGUAAAUAGGUGAGGAUGUGUCAACGUGUAGGAAUGAUUUAAGGAUACGUGGCCAGAAGGGGCACUGUGAGCUUGGAUUCCCAGUUGGAGUUUAGAUUUGGUGCUUCAUUUGGCCUCUGAGCUUCCAAAGGUCUUCAUUUGUAACACACUUAUGGCUGACAGCUGGGCUGAGGACCCUCCUGAGAGAGCCUCCAGUGUGGCAGCCACUGAAACUAAGGUCUACCUCGAAGAACAUUUUGAACAGGAAAGAGAAGUAUGAAACAUUUAAUCAUCAUUCUUUUUAUUUGAUUUAUUUAGGGCUGCAUUGGGUCUUCAUUGCUGGAUGUGGGCUUUCUCUAGUUUCAGGGACUGCUCCUCACUGCGGUGCCCAGGCUUUUCCUUGCGGUGGCUUCUCUUGCUGCAGAGAAGGGCUCUGGGCCCCCCAGAGUUCAGUAGUUGUGGCACACAGGCUUGGUUACUCCGAAGCAC